rnacentral:tRNA from 1 species
UGGGGUAUGGGGUAACUGGCAGCCCAGCGGAUUCUGAUUCCGUUAGUCUAGGUUCGAAUCCUGGUACCCCAGCAA